CUCGCCCCGCGGAGCCGGGCGGGUGCUGCGGCCGGGGAGCUCGGCAUCGCUAUUAGUGCUGCGCGGCGCGGCCCCGGCUCUCCGGUUUCAUUUCCUUUUUCCUGAUCACGAUUCAAAUACAAUAGAAGGAAAUCACGCUUAAAGAGACAGCUGCCCGUUUCUUAACUGGACUCCUGGGGGUUUAGCAACACAAACAGCGGCAUCACGACUCGCUCGGCUUCUUAAAGAGACAGAGCUCGGGCUCCCCGCAGCCGGGGUUGCGAGCUGACGCUGCGUUUUCACAUCGCGACGUCACGGAGCAGCACCGCACCGCUGCUCGGGGCUCCCGGGGAGGUGCGCGACCCGAAAGCAUCCGAAGGGCUGAGGGAAACCUCGGCCGGCUCCGAGCUGUCGGCACCCCGGCCCCACGCGGAAUCACAGCGGCCGUCACGCUCCCUCUCCUCGUCCUCUCCAGCCCUUCACACGCACAUGCCCACACCACGCACGUUUCGCUACGGCACCUGGAAAUCGGGCGCUGGGUCAGAACCCGAGUGCUGUUUUCUACCUAGGGUGCAAAUCGGUCAACUAAACUGUGCUUCCCUUGUAUCCCGUUGUGUUCCAGAGUCACUGGUCGCUGGUGUCUGCUUCCAGAUGCCCCCGAGUUCUCGAUUUGUGUUCUUCAGAAAUACAGCCUUUGAGUACAAACUACGUUAAGCUCCCUAUGAUUUGGCUGAUUUUCCUAAGCUGCUGAGCUGCCACAGCUUAUCCAGAAUUGCAAUGGCAAUGUAAUAAGAAGAAAUGAAUAGCAAUGGGUGAAACAACUUCAUAUUUUCAGGUAUUAUAUUUAAUGGUCAAAAUGCCUCAGUGUGCUUCAGUGUUCACAAAGAAUGUGAGUGGGGAAAAGUGAUUUCAACCGCUGGGUAUGGGGCUUGCAGAAAUAUGUUACUGCAUAAAAAGCAAAUCUUAAUAGCGGUAUGAACCAAAACUUCUUGGUGAGUUGUGAAAAGACACUGGCUUUCAAUAUCUGAAGACACGUAUAUUUAUUCAAGUGGAGUUAGCUGAUUUAUUACACUUGUCUUAUAACCUGUUAUGCAAAAUGCAGUGAUCUGGAAAGCAAAUUAGCUAUCAUAAAAUGGCAAAGCAUUGAGCUGCUAUUUAAAAUACACACAUACAUGAGAAGUCUACGAAACAGUAUUUAUGGAUGCCGUGAAGAAAAAUCUGACUAUUCAGGCAUUAACUGCUGAAGCAUGAGGUCAGAGAAAGCACUUUUCUGCUGAUGACCUACUUGAAUUAACUCACAGGCAGCCAGAAUCAGAACUGGGGCUGUGUGACUGUACACAGGGCUCAGGUGGGGAUGGGAAGGGCAAAGAGAACUCUCCUUUCUGAUGUGGAGAACCAUUAGGUUGGCUCAGUUGUUCAAGGAACGGCCCCCAUUUUUUAAGAAGAAAACAACCCAGGGCAUCCAGGAUUAAACAGACAAAAUCCUAAACUGGAAUUGCAACUGAAAAUUUCAUUUACAAAGUGGAAUUGGGGGAAGUAGAGUAUUAGGGCCUUGUAUUCCUAGUCCUGCAUCCCUUAACUUUACAACGAUCACAGGACAAAUGCGUUUCCAAUGUCACCUAGCUUCCAGCCUGCUUGGCGUUGUUUUCGUACUGCCUUAAUGGGGAGGCACAGAAAGACAGCAUCUCACUCCAAACUGAUACCGAAAUAAUCACCAACCGUAGGCAUGGAAGGUUCAGCAAACAGUUGUCAGCUCUGGUCGCAGAGAUUUAUUAAACGCACUGA
ensembl:lncRNA